CAGUCGCCGCGGUAAUGCGAAGGGUGCAAGCGUUAAUCGGAAUUACUGGGCGUAAAGCGUGCGUAGGCGGUGAGUUAAGUCUGCUGUGAAAUCCCCGGGCUCAACCUGGGAAUGGCAAUGGAUACUGGCAAGCUAGAGUGUGUCAGAGGAUGGUGGAAUUCCCGGUGUAGCGGUGAAAUGCGUAGAGAUCGGGAGGAACAUCAGUGGCGAAGGCGGCCAUCUGGGACAACACUGACGCUGAGGCACGAAAGCGUGGGGAGCAAACAGGAUUAGAUACCCCCGUAGUCCCUGUCUCUUAUAC
rnacentral:rRNA from 1 species